GGUUAAGCGACUAAGCGUACACGGUGGAUGCCCUGGCAGUCAGAGGCGAUGAAGGACGUGCUAAUCUGCGAUAAGCGUCGGUAAGGUGAUAUGAACCGUUAUAACCGGCGAUUUCCGAAUGGGGAAACCCAGUGUGAUUCGUCACACUAUCAUUAACUGAAUCCAUAGGUUAAUGAGGCGAACCGGGGGAACUGAAACAUCUAAGUACCCCGAGGAAAAGAAAUCAACCGAGAUUCCCCCAGUAGCGGCGAGCGAACGGGGAGCAGCCCAGAGCCUGAAUCAGUGUGUGUGUUAGUGGAAGCGUCUGGAAAGGCGCGCGAUACAGGGUGACAGCCCCGUACACAAAAAUGCACAUACUGUGAGCUCGAUGAGUAGGGCGGGACACGUGGUAUCCUGUCUGAAUAUGGGGGGACCAUCCUCCAAGGCUAAAUACUCCUGACUGACCGAUAGUGAACCAGUACCGUGAGGGAAAGGCGAAAAGAACCCCGGCGAGGGGAGUGAAAAAGAACCUGAAACCGUGUACGUACAAGCAGUGGGAGCACGCUUAGGCGUGUGACUGCGUACCUUUUGUAUAAUGGGUCAGCGACUUAUAUUCUGUAGCAAGGUUAACCGAAUAGGGGAGCCGAAGGGAAACCGAGUCUUAACUGGGCGUUAAGUUGCAGGGUAUAGACCCGAAACCCGGUGAUCUAGCCAUGGGCAGGUUGAAGGUUGGGUAACACUAACUGGAGGACCGAACCGACUAAUGUUGAAAAAUUAGCGGAUGACUUGUGGCUGGGGGUGAAAGGCCAAUCAAACCGGGAGAUAGCUGGUUCUCCCCGAAAGCUAUUUAGGUAGCGCCUCGUGAAUUCAUCUCCGGGGGUAGAGCACUGUUUCGGCAAGGGGGUCAUCCCGACUUACCAACCCGAUGCAAACUGCGAAUACCGGAGAAUGUUAUCACGGGAGACACACGGCGGGUGCUAACGUCCGUCGUGAAGAGGGAAACAACCCAGACCGCCAGCUAAGGUCCCAAAGUCAUGGUUAAGUGGGAAACGAUGUGGGAAGGCCCAGACAGCCAGGAUGUUGGCUUAGAAGCAGCCAUCAUUUAAAGAAAGCGUAAUAGCUCACUGGUCGAGUCGGCCUGCGCGGAAGAUGUAACGGGGCUAAACCAUGCACCGAAGCUGCGGCAGCGACGCUUAUGCGUUGUUGGGUAGGGGAGCGUUCUGUAAGCCUGCGAAGGUGUGCUGUGAGGCAUGCUGGAGGUAUCAGAAGUGCGAAUGCUGACAUAAGUAACGAUAAAGCGGGUGAAAAGCCCGCUCGCCGGAAGACCAAGGGUUCCUGUCCAACGUUAAUCGGGGCAGGGUGAGUCGACCCCUAAGGCGAGGCCGAAAGGCGUAGUCGAUGGGAAACAGGUUAAUAUUCCUGUACUUGGUGUUACUGCGAAGGGGGGACGGAGAAGGCUAUGUUGGCCGGGCGACGGUUGUCCCGGUUUAAGCGUGUAGGCUGGUUUUCCAGGCAAAUCCGGAAAACUAAGGCUGAGGCGUGAUGACGAGGCACUACGGUGCUGAAGCAACAAAUGCCCUGCUUCCAGGAAAAGCCUCUAAGCAUCAGGUAACAUCAAAUCGUACCCCAAACCGACACAGGUGGUCAGGUAGAGAAUACCAAGGCGCUUGAGAGAACUCGGGUGAAGGAACUAGGCAAAAUGGUGCCGUAACUUCGGGAGAAGGCACGCUGAUAUGUAGGUGAAGUCCCUCGCGGAUGGAGCUGAAAUCAGUCGAAGAUACCAGCUGGCUGCAACUGUUUAUUAAAAACACAGCACUGUGCAAACACGAAAGUGGACGUAUACGGUGUGACGCCUGCCCGGUGCCGGAAGGUUAAUUGAUGGGGUCAGCGCAAGCGAAGCUCUUGAUCGAAGCCCCGGUAAACGGCGGCCGUAACUAUAACGGUCCUAAGGUAGCGAAAUUCCUUGUCGGGUAAGUUCCGACCUGCACGAAUGGCGUAAUGAUGGCCAGGCUGUCUCCACCCGAGACUCAGUGAAAUUGAACUCGCUGUGAAGAUGCAGUGUACCCGCGGCAAGACGGAAAGACCCCGUGAACCUUUACUAUAGCUUGACACUGAACAUUGAGCCUUGAUGUGUAGGAUAGGUGGGAGGCUUUGAAGUGUGGACGCCAGUCUGCAUGGAGCCGGCCUUGAAAUACCACCCUUUAAUGUUUGAUGUUCUAACGUUGACCCGUAAUCCGGGUUGCGGACAGUGUCUGGUGGGUAGUUUGACUGGGGCGGUCUCCUCCUAAAGAGUAACGGAGGAGCACGAAGGUUGGCUAAUCCUGGUCGGACAUCAGGAGGUUAGUGCAAUGGCAUAAGCCAGCUUGACUGCGAGCGUGACGGCGCGAGCAGGUGCGAAAGCAGGUCAUAGUGAUCCGGUGGUUCUGAAUGGAAGGGCCAUCGCUCAACGGAUAAAAGGUACUCCGGGGAUAACAGGCUGAUACCGCCCAAGAGUUCAUAUCGACGGCGGUGUUUGGCACCUCGAUGUCGGCUCAUCACAUCCUGGGGCUGAAGUAGGUCCCAAGGGUAUGGCUGUUCGCCAUUUAAAGUGGUACGCGAGCUGGGUUUAGAACGUCGUGAGACAGUUCGGUCCCUAUCUGCCGUGGGCGCUGGAGAACUGAGGGGGGCUGCUCCUAGUACGAGAGGACCGGAGUGGACGCAUCACUGGUGUUCGGGUUGUCAUGCCAAUGGCACUGCCCGGUAGCUAAAUGCGGAAGAGAUAAGUGCUGAAAGCAUCUAAGCACGAAACUUGCCCCGAGAUGAGUUCUCCCUGAGACUUUAAGUCUCCUGAAGGAACGUUGAAGACGACGACGUUGAUAGGCCGGGUGUGUAAGCGCAGCGAUGCGUUGAGCUAACCGGUACUAAUGAACCGUGAGGCUUAACCUU
rnacentral:rRNA from 1 species